UUGUGCUAGGCGGGGAGCUAGCGGUGCCCUGUACCCGAAAUCCGCUUCAUGCGGGGCUGAAUCCCCUUCUUAGGGUUUGAUCCCCAAAACGUCGGCUGUCUGGCCGGCCUCUGCGCAACAGCCGGUUAUGAACCUCGUCAGGUCCGGAAGGAAGCAGCGAUAAAUGAUGCGGGCUGUGUCGCGGAUCGACCCCGGCCGUAUGAACAAUUGACGUAUCUUUUUGGGAAAAACUCGAAGUUGGGUGCACAG
rnacentral:SRP_RNA from 1 species